CACGGUUACCACUCUCUCUAUCACAAUCACACACACACACAGUUUCACGCUCAAUCUUGCAUGAUGCUAUGGAGGAAACAGAAAUGUGCAUCAUAUGUGUUCGACGACAUUCAGUAGAUCUAACUCGUAUCAGUAUGCUAUUCAGUCGAUCAGGUCGUUUCUUACAUGCAUUUGCCGAUUCUGAUAUUUUUUAACCUAAUUUUUCUCUAUUCCUUUUUUCUUGUUGAUUUCUUAAUUGCUUCUCAUCAAUUACUAGAUUAUUUAGGUGUUUUUGGUGCUGAUGUUUGAUUUAUUGACAGUGUGUUGUAAUUUACCGGACAAAUUAUUGUAAGUCGGUAUCACACGCCAAUUAGAGGCGCGUUCGACAUUCAGGAGUUCUUACUCGUAAUCGGUAUAAUAUUCAAUUGAUCAGGUUGUUUCUUACUUUCAUUUGCAUAUUCUUUAACCUAAAUUUUCCCUCUGUUGCUUUUGUCAUGUUAUUGUUUGGCGUUUUUUGUGCUGGUUAUCUAGGCGUUUUUUGUGCUGAUGUUUGAUUUACUGGACUAAAAGUGUGCUGGAUACUCUCUCAAAUGGACAACACUAAAAGUUUUAACUAACUUUUAAAAACUAUUAAAUGUGCUUAAUCUAGGGAUUCCCUCCAAAAACUAUAUAAUACUGCCAUCAAAGUCAAGUAGGAAAUACAUUAAAUAAAUAUCUUUGACUACACAUGUUAUUUUGCCUAAAAUUUAAUAGAACAAUAUUAUGCCUCAACUUGUUUGGCACUAAUAUGGCUUUUCCAUGCAUGUCUACAUGACAUGUCUCAUGCGCAGUCAUAAGUAAGCUUCUUAGGUGAACAAACAUUAGUAUUUGGUAAACCUAUUGCUAUGGUAUAUGCAUAAUUGCGCUAUAGUGAUGUAACCAUCCUAUUUCAUUUAGUUACCAGGAAUAAUGUGCAUGUGUGCUCCAACUGUUGAGACUAUCAUCUUGAUGAAAUUUCAGCUUGUUAUCAUCAUUGAAUUGAAGUUUAAAUAAGAUUCUUAAACAUUACAAUAUCCUGCAGCUAAAGUCUUCCGUAAUAUCAUGUAGUAAUUUCCGCAUUAUGAAAAUCAUGUAGUCAGACUCAGAGUUGGAAUUUCCUGUUAUUAUAGUCUUACAUGUGAACUCCAUGUGUUGGAAUUUGCCAUUAUGAUGGUUUUCUUUGAUUUUUUCUCUUUUUCAUUCGUAAUACAGAUUAAUAUAUAUUCGGGUAACUGGAAUGGAUGAUGGGUUAAACGUCAGAGAAGAAAUUUGCUUUGUAAUUUAUCACAUAAUUUUGCCAAGUUCUACUCCUCCGUAGCUUUAUUGUUUGUUUGGCACAUCUCUUUAAGCCACUGACAUUAUAAACUUGCUUGUAGUUGAUUUUUUAGUCAUAAAAGAUAGUACAUAUCAUGUCUUCCAUAUGUAUUAUGAUAUCUUUAAUAAACUGAUAAACUCACAUGGAUUGUAUAAUGAUCUGAAUUACCAUUCUACUUUUGUUUAACUGUAGCUGAAGUUAAAUGAUGGAUAUUGAGAGUGACGUUCAAGUUUGUUGUAAAUUAUAUUGUAUCUGAUCAUAGUAUAUCCUUUAUUCAUACUAGAACUAGAAUCUACUGGUUUUUGUUAAUGCUUUUCCUGUUUAAAAUGCAGAAACAAAUUUCUUAAAGCUGACUCUGCAGCUCACGAAGCAUUGCAGAUUUUCCAAACUGACAAACAUCGAAGCCACGUAGGUAUUGGUAGAGCAAAAGAAGGCGGCUCAAUAAAGGAAUAAG
rnacentral:lncRNA from 1 species